CCUACGGGAGGCAGCAGUGAGGAAUAUUGGUCAAUGGCCGUAAGGCUGAACCAGCCAAGUCGCGUGAAGGAAGACGGAUCUAUGGUUUGUAACCUUCUUUUAUAGGGGAAUAAAGGUAUCCACGUGUGGAUAUUUGCAUGUACCCUAUGAAUAAGCAUCGGCUAACUACGUGCCAGCAGACGCGGUAAUAAGGAGGAUGCGAGCGUUAUCCGGAUUUAGUGGGUUUAAAGGGUGCGUAGGUUGUUUUUUAAGUCAGCGGUGAAAGUUUGUGGCUCAACCAUAAAAUUGCCGUUGAAACUGGAAGACUUGAGUGGUGUUGAGGUAGGCGGAAGUCGUGGUGUAGCGGUGAAAUGCUUAGAUAUCACGAAGAACUCCGAUUGCGAAGGCAGCCUACUAAACUGCCACUGACAUUGAUGCUCGAAAGUGGGGGUAUCAAACAGGAGUAGAUACCCCUGUAGUC
rnacentral:rRNA from 1 species